rnacentral:rRNA from 1 species
UAAGGAAUAUUGGACAAUGGAGGCAACUCUGAUCCAGCCAUGCCGCGUGAAGGAAUAAGGCCCUAUGGGUUGUAAACUUCUUUUAGACGGGACAAAACCCCUUUACGUGUAAAGGGUUGAUGGUACUGUCAGAAUAAGCAUCGGCUAACUUCGUGCCAGCAGCCGCGGUAAUACGAAGGAUGCAAGCGUUAUCCGGAAUUAUUGGGUUUAAAGGGUGCGUAGGCGGACUAAUAAGUCGGUGGUGAAAGCCUGCAGCUUAACUGCAGAAUUGCCAUUGAUACUGUUAGUCUUGAGUACAGUUGAGGUAGGCGGAAUGUGUCAUGUAGCGGUGAAAUGCUUAGAUAUGACACAGAACACCGAUUGCGAAGGCAGCUUGCUAAGCUGUAACUGACGCUGAGGCACGAAAGCGUGGGGAGCAAACA